AGAGAGAGACAUGCGCGCAUAUCAAUAAGCGGAGGAAAAGAAACUAACAAGGAUUCCCUUAGUAACGGCGAGUGAAGCGGGAAGAGCUCAAAUUUGAAAUCUUCAAGGUUCUACCUUGACGAAUUGUAGUUUAUAGAAGUGUUUUCUGUUAGUGGAGUGGCAGAAGUUCUUUGGAAUAGGACAUCAUAGAGGGUGAGAAUCCCGUAUUUGGUCAUUCCUCCUAGCGUUGUGAUACACUUUCAACGAGUCGGAUUGUUUGGGAAUGCAGUCCAAAAUGGGUGGUAAAUUUCAUCUAAAGCUAAAUAUUGGCGAGAGACCGAUAGCGAACAAGUACCGUGAGGGAAAGAUGAAAAGAACUUUGAAAAGAGAGUUAAACAGUACGUGAAAUUGUCAAAAGGGAAGCGUUUGACACCAGUGUUGUUUUUCCGAAAAUCAAUUACGAAUGUUUUGUUUUUGAGGAGUUAUGACUUCAUCGGCUUGCUCCUUUCUUUAUGAAACUUUCUUAAUGCACUUUUCGGUUAACAAGUCAACAUCAAUUUCUUUUGUUGUAAAAGGGUCAUUGGAAGGUGGCUUUCUUUUCGGAGAAAGUGUUUAUAGCCUUUGGCCUCUGCAAUCGGAGAGAUUGAGGUCUGCAGCGUAGAUCCUUCGGGGUUAGAUGCAUUUGUGCUAAGCUAUAGCCUUUCAUAGACAACUUGUUGACUAUGAUCAGUCAUGUAGCUUACUCGCUUAUGUCAUUUUACCUACGCUUAGGAUGUUGAUAGUCACAGCGUGUAC
rnacentral:rRNA from 1 species